UGGGGAAUUUUGGACAAUGGGGGAAACCCUGAUCCAGCCAUCCCGCGUGUGCGAUGAAGGCCUUCGGGUUGUAAAGCACUUUUGGCAGGAAAGAAACGUCAUGGGUUAAUACCCCGUGAAACUGACGGUACCUGCAGAAUAAGCACCGGCUAACUACGUGCCAGCAGCCGCGGUAAUACGUAGGGUGCAAGCGUUAAUCGGAAUUACUGGGCGUAAAGCGUGCGCAGGCGGUUCGGAAAGAAAGAUGUGAAAUCCCAGAGCUCAACUUUGGAACUGCACUUUUAACUACCGGGCUAGAGUGUGUCAGAGGGAGGUGGAAUUCCGCGUGUAGCAGUGAAAUGCGUAGAUAUGCGGAGGAACACCGAUGGCGAAGGCAGCCUCCUGGGAUAACACUGACGCUCAUGCACGAAAGCGUGGGGAGCAAACA
rnacentral:rRNA from 1 species